CAGCCGCCGCGGUAAUACAGAGGGUGCAAGCGUUAAUCGGAUUUACUGGGCGUAAAGCGUGCGUAGGUGGCUGUUUAAGUCGGAUGUGAAAGCCCUGGGCAUAACCUGGAAACUGCAUUCGAUACUGGAUAGCUAGAGAUCGGUAGAGGGCAGCGGAAUUCCGGGUGUAGCGGUGAAAUGCGUAGAUAUCCGGAGGAACACCGAUGGCGAAGGCAACUGCCUGGGCCUGAUCUGACACUGAGGCACGAAAGCGUGGGUAGCAAGCAGGAUUAGAUACCCCUGUAGUCCCUGUCUCUUAUAC
rnacentral:rRNA from 1 species